GCCUAGGUGGCUCAGUCGGUUAAGCAUCUGACUUCAGCUCAGGUCAUGAUCUUGGGUUUUGUGGGUUUGAGCCCCAUGUCAGGCU
rnacentral:tRNA from 1 species